rnacentral:rRNA from 1 species
GAUGAACGCUGGCGGCGUGCCUAAUACAUGCAAGUCGAGCGAACAGACGAGGAGCUUGCUCCUCUGACGUUAGCGGCGGACGGGUGAGUAACACGUGGAUAACCUACCUAUAAGACUGGGAUAACUUCGGGAAACCGGAGCUAAUACCGGAUAAUAUAUUGAACCGCAUGGUUCAAUAGUGAAAGACGGUUUUGCUGUCACUUAUAGCUGGAUCCGCGCCGCAUUAGCUAGUUGGUAAGGUAACGGCUUACCAAGACAACGAUGCGUAGCCGAACUGAGAGGGGGAUCGGCCACACUGGAACUGAGACACGGUCCAGACUCCUAAGGGAGGCAGCAGUAGGGAAUCUUCCGCAAUGGGGGAAAGCAUGACGGAGCAACGCCGCGUGAGUGAUGAAGGUCUUCGGAUCGUAAAAAUCUGUUAUUAGGGAAGAACAAAUGUGUAAGUAACUAUGCACGGAGUGACGGUAACUAAUCAGAAAGCCACGGCUAACUACGUG